rnacentral:rRNA from 1 species
AACGAACGCUGGCGGCGUGCUUAAUACAUGCAAGUCUAACGAGAAAGUCCGACUUCGGUUGGGCGAGUAAAGUGGCGAACGGGUGAGUAACACGUGGAAAAUCUACCCUUGUGUCUGGAAUAAUCCUUCGAAAGGGGGUCUAAUACCGGAUAACAUCCCGAAGCGGCAUCGCUUUGGGAUCAAAGGCGGGGCAACCUGCCGCAUGGGGAUGGUUCCGCGCUCCAUUAGCUUGUUGGUGAGGUAACGGCUCACCAAGGCUAUGAUGGAUAGCCGGCCUGAGAGGGUGAUCGGCCACACUGGGACUGAGAUACGGCCCAGACUCCUACGGGAGGCAGCAGUAGGGAAUAUUGCGCAAUGGGCGAAAGCCUGACGCAGCAAUUCCGCGUGGAGGACGAAGGCCCUCGGGUCGUAAACUCCUUUUGCGAGGGAAGAAGAUCUGACGGUACCUCGCGAAUAAGCCACGGCUAACUACGUGCCAGCAGCCGCGGUAAUACGUAGGUGGCAAGCGUUGUCCGGAUUUAUUGGGCGUAAAGCGCCCGCAGGCGGCUUGGAAAGUUUCGGGUGAAAUCUCCUGGCUUAACUGGGAGGGGUCUCGGAAAACUACCAGACUUGAGUACGGGAGGGGGAAGUGGAAUUCCUGGUGUAGAGGUGAAAUUCGCAGAUAUCAGGAGGAAUACCGGUGGCGAAGGCGACUUCCUGGACCGAUACUGACGCUGAGACGCGAAAGCGUGGGGAGCAAACAGGAUUAGAUACCCUGGUAGUCCUAGCCCUAAACGAUGAGUGCUUGGUGUGGCGGG